rnacentral:sRNA from 1 species
UGCCACAGAUCCAGCAUAUGGCAGAAGAGGCUCUUACCACUCCUGGACUGCUUUUAAAAACAAACACAAACAUGAAACAAAGGCGGGCUUUCUGAGCCUGAUCCCGGCCUGGGCCUUCUACAGCGGUGCCUUCCAAAGGCUGCUCCUGACACACUAUGUGGCAUACCUGAAGCUCAACACCAAGGUCAGGUAGCCGGGCGGUGAGGAGUCCAGCACAACCUUUUCCUCACCAGUCCCAUGCUGGCUGAAGAGGACCAGAGGAGCAGACCAGCACUUCAACCUAGUCCGCUGAAGAUGGAGGGGGCUGGGGUCACAGAGGCAUAGAAUACACAUUUUUUGCCACUUUA